GGGUUUCAACCGCAUGUUGCGAUUCUUCCUUCCUCUUUCGACGGCGACCCUGUUGCAAUCUUCUUCUUCCUCGUUUUCACAUUCUUUAACAGACCAAAUGGAGUAACCAGCCAUGCGAGCGCUCUUUACUUUUAUUCCUCUUGAGUCGACGUCAUCCGCCAUUCUUCCCUUUUCGCCUUCGUAGCUGUUCUCUAACACGAACCAACAAGCCAUUAGUCGUCCACGCCCUUACUCUUCCUGGUUCUUCUUCUUCGUCACUUCAGUGUCUCUUUCCUCCCGAGUAAGUUCAGUGGCCAACAUAGAAACGAAGGGGUGUGGCAUCAAGGAAUGGAGACGGUGUGAGAAGAUAAUGGCAUUCUGAUGGGUGGUGGCAUCGAGGAUGAGUGACAUCACAAUUGCCCCUCUAUUGUUCUGAGGGUAAGUUUUGAUGUAUUUGUGCGAAACACAAAAACGAAGCACUUCUGCGACCCUGAAGAAGUUGAGUUGGAGCUUUACCACAAGAGAUUCAAACUUAAUUGUUGGUACUUGACUGCGCAUGGUGUGCAAGAACCUGAAGUUCAAUUUGAUCAAGGAGGUGCCUUGACAAGUUAUGCCCCCCCCCCUUAAGAGGAAUUUGAUCCUGUCACAUAUGAAAAAAUGGUCCAUGAUGCUUAGAGAGCUCAAUUUGUUGGGAACAUUCAACACAAAUCUAAAACACCAAAUAACAAAACAAAAUAGUUCUAUAACUUACUGAACGCUUCACAACAACUUUUAUGGGAUGAU